CUCAGUGAGAGCAGCAAAGGACUGAAAAUCCUCGNGUC
rnacentral:tRNA from 1 species